ensembl:lncRNA
UGUCUGUCUGUCUGUCUGUCUGUCUGUCUGUCUGUCUGUCUGUCUGUCUGUCUGUCUGUCUGUCUGUCUCAACCUAUACAUCUUUGUGGAACUAUUUCACCUUCUAUACGUAACCUAGAGACCUAAACAUAUUAUGAAGAAAUGCAUGAUCAAGCAACACUUUCUCUACCUGUGAUUAGGUAUGACAGAUUAGGUAUGAUUAGGUACCAGUCGUUGGGUAGAGAGCUGCAGAAGACUCAUCUGAUGGUGAAUAGAAGCUGAUAAAGUGAUGACAGGAGGUCAUCGGCAGCCAUCAGAGUCUCGAAGGGACAGGACACCUGAAGGUACACAGCUGUGCCAGGUGUCAGGAAGUAAAGGUAUGGAUGGGACAUGAGAUCCCUCUCACUGCAGCUCCUGAGGGCUCCUUGCUAAGAGCCAGAAUGAGAUAGGUUCACAGCCUGAAGUCAAGGGUCAGAGUGUUUCUGAGAAGAUGGAGGCCUCCAGAGUGUAACCUGGAUAAACAUCUCUGACAGAGGGAACUGGAUCAUGCCUUACUUUUUCUUUUCUUUUUCUUUUGUCUGUCUUCUCAUUUUUUCUCCCCUGUAGAACUAGUGUGCAGAGGGAAGUCAUGUUAGCCUCACUCACUGUUGAUGUUGAUGGGGAAGCUGUUUGAAUUAUACUGCCUGGUUCCUUUGGGUGUACUGCAAUAUGUACAAUAAUGUAAUGAAAGAUGUCAAUAUAUUUAUGAUGAACUGUAUGGUAAUCUUUUAUAAAAUGUUAUAAAAUAUUGUUUAUUCAUUAAUAUUCUACCUUCUAUGUUAUGGCUAUACCUGGAGGCAAA